GACGAACGCUGGCGGCGUGCUUAACACAUGCAAGUCGAACGAUGAACCCGGAGCUUGCUCUGGGGGAUUAGUGGCGAACGGGUGAGUAAAACGUGAGUAACCUGCCCUGGACUCUGGGAUAAGCGUUGGAAACGACGUCUAAUACCGGAUAGGACCUUGGAUCGCAUGAUCUGGGGUGGAAAGAUUUUUCGGUCUGGGAUGGACUCGCGGCCUGUCAGCUUGUUUGUGAGGUAGUGGCUCUCCCAGGGGUCGACGGGUAGCCCGCCUGAGAGGGGAACCGGCCACACUGGGGACGACACAGGGCCCAGACUCCUGCGAGAGGCAGCAGUGGGGAAUAAUGCACAAUGGGCGAAAGCCUGAUGCAGCAACGCCGCGUGCGGGAUGACGGCCUUCGGGUUGUAAACCACUUUUAGUAGGGAAGAAGGGCUUCGGCUUGACGGUACCUGCAGAAAAAGGACCGGCUAACUACGUG
rnacentral:rRNA from 1 species